UUGAGUUUGAUCCUGGCUCAGGACGAACGCUGGCGGCAUGCCUAACACAUGCAAGUCGAGGGGCCCUUCGGGGUCACUGGCGCACGGGUGAGUAACACGUAGGUCAUCUGCCCCUAUCACAGACAUAACUCCGGGAAACCGGUGCUAAUAUCUGAUGAGGUCGCGAGAUCAAAGCUUCGGCGGAUAGGGAUGAGCCUGCGGCUGAUUAGCUAGUUGGUGAGGUAACGGCUCACCAAGGCGACGAUCAGUAGCUGGUCUGAGAGGACGAACAGCCACACUGGAACUGAGACACGGUCCAGACUCCUACGGGAGGCAGCAGUGAGGAAUAUUGGUCAAUGGGAGCAAUCCUGAACCAGCAAUGCCGCGUGUGGGAUGACAGGGCUCAGCCUUGUAAACCACUGUCGGAUGGGACGAGAGGGGGUCUUAGGCCCCUGGGACGGUACCAUCAAAGGAAGGGUCGGCUAACUACGUGCCAGCAGCCGCGGUAAAAU
rnacentral:rRNA from 1 species